rnacentral:rRNA from 1 species
AUACGGAGGAUGCGAGCGUUAUCCGGAUUUAUUGGGUUUAAAGGGUGCGUAGGCUGUGCGUUAAGUCAGGGGUGAAAUGCCGUCGCUCAACGACGGAGCUGCCCUUGAUACUGGCGUGCUGGAGUACGGAUGCCGUUGGAGGAAUGAGUGGUGUAGCGGUGAAAUGCUUAGAUAUCACUCAGAACACCGAUUGCGAAGGCAUCUGACGAAUCCGUCACUGACGCUGAGGCACGAAAGCGUGGGGAUAGAACAGGAUUAGAUACCCUGGUAUUCCACGCCGUAAACGAUGAUGACUAACCGUCGGCGAUAGACAGCCGGUGGCCAAGCGAAAGCGAUAAGUCAUCCACCUGGGGAGUACGUCGGCAACGAUAAAACUCAAAGGAAUUGACGGGG